AGCGGCGGACGGGUGAGUAACGCGUGGGUAACCUGCCCUAUACACACGGAUAACAUACCGAAAGGUAUGCUAAUACGAGAUAAUAUAGGAGAUUCACAUGGAUUUCUUAUCAAAGCUGAGGCGGUAUAGGAUGGACCCGCGUCUGAUUAGCUAGUUGGUAAGGUAACGGCUUACCAAGGCGACGAUCAGUAGCCGACCUGAGAGGGUGAUCGGCCACAUUGGAACUGAGACACGGUCCAAACUCCUACGGGAGGCAGCAGUGGGGAAUAUUGCACAAUGGGCGAAAGCCUGAUGCAGCAACGCCGCGUGAGUGAUGAAGGCCUUCGGGUCGUAAAACUCUGUCCUCAAGGAAGAUAAUGACGGUACUUGAGGAGGAAGCCCCGGCUAACUACGUGCCAGCAGCCGCGGUAAUACGUAGGGGGCUAGCGUUAUCCGGAUUUACUGGGCGUAAAGGGUGCGUAGGUGGUCUCUUAAGUCAGGAGUGAAAGGCUACGGCUUAACCGUAGUAGGCUCUUGAAACUGGGAGACUUGAGUGCAGGAGAGGAAAGUGGAAUUCCUAGUGUAGCGGUGAAAUGCGUAGAUAUUAGGAGGAACACCAGUAGCGAAGGCGGCUUUCUGGACUGUAACUGACACUGAGGCACGAAAGCGUGGGGAGCAAACAGGAUUAGAUACCCUGGUAGUCCACGCCGUAAACGAUGAGUACUAGGUGU
rnacentral:rRNA from 1 species